rnacentral:misc_RNA from 1 species
GAAAUGCGAUAAGUAAUGUGAAUUGCAGAAUUCAGUGAAUCAUCGAAUCUUUGAACGCACAUUGCGCCCGCCAGCAUUCUGGCGGGCAUGCCUGUUCGAGCGUCAUUUCAACCCUCGCGCCCAAUUGCGGGCAGCGGUGUUGGGGACCGGCAACCGAAGGAAAACCCCCCCGGGGGCCCUCCGAGCCGCCCCCUAAAUACAGUGGCGGUCUCGCUGCAGCCUCCCUUGCGUAGUAGCACACCUCGCACCGGAGCGCAGCGCGGCCACGCCGUAAAACCCCCGACUUUCAUGAGUUUGACCUCGGAUCAGGUAGGAAUACCCGCUGAACUUAA